UACGUAGGGGGCGAGCGUUGUCCGGAUUUAUUGGGCGUAAAGAGCUCGUAGGCGGUUUGGUAAGUCGGGUGUGAAAUCUCCACGCUCAACGUGGAGGGGCCACUCGAUACUGCCAUGACUCGAGUCCGGUAGAGGAGAGUGGAAUUCCUGGUGUAGCGGUGAAAUGCGCAGAUAUCAGGAAGAACACCCGUGGCGAAGGCGGCUCUCUGGGACGGUACUGACGCUGAGACGCGAAAGCGUGGGGAGCGAACAGG
rnacentral:rRNA from 1 species